CCCUUAGAUGUCCUGGGCCGCACGCGCGUUACACUGAUGCAUUCAACGAGCUUAUAACCUUGGCCGAGAGGCCUGGGCAAUCUUGUUAACGUGCAUCGUGAUAGGGAUAGAUUAUUGAAAUUAUUAAUCUUGAACGAGGAAUUCCCGGUAAACGCAGAUCAUCAAUCUGCAUUGAUUACGUCCCUGCCCUUUGUACACACCGCCCGUCGCACCUACCGAUUGGAUGGUCCGGUGAAGCCUCGGGAUUGUGGUUCUUGCCGCUUUAUUGUGGCGUGACCGCGAGAACUUGUCUAAACCUUAUCAUCUAGAGGAAGGUGAAGUCGUAACA
rnacentral:rRNA from 1 species